rnacentral:rRNA from 1 species
GGUGGAGCGAUUUGUCUGGUUAAUUCCGAUAACGAACGAGACUCUAGCCUGCUAAAUAGUUCGCCGAUUGUCAAACACUGUCGGCGUCAACUUCUUAGAGGGACAAGUGGCGUUUAGUCACACGAGAUUGAGCAAUAACAGGUCUGUGAUGCCCUUAGAUGUCCGGGGCUGCACGCGUGCUACACUGGAAGAAUCAGCGUGUUUUUCCAUUGCUGAAAGGUAUUGGUAAACCGUUGAAACUCUUUCGUGUCCGGGAUAGGGAAUUGAAAUUAUUUCCCUUAAACGAGGAAUUCCUAGUAAGUGUGAGUCAUUAGCUCACGUUGAAUACGUCCCUGCCCUUUGUAC